CUGGCGGCGUGCUUACACAUGCAAGUCGUACGANAACACCUUANCUUGCUAGGGUAAGUAAAGUGGCGCAUGGGUGAGUAACGCGUGGGUAAUCUACCUUCGAAUUGGGGAUAACGUUGCGAAAGCGACGCUAAUACCGAAUAACAUCCAUAGAUCUUAUGAUUUUUGGAUCAAAGGUGGCCUCUACAGGUAAGCUACUGUUUGAAGAUGAGCCCGCGUACCAUUAGCUUGUUGGUGGGGUAAUGGCCUACCAAGGCGACGAUGGUUAGCUGGUCUGAGAGGAUGAUCAGCCACACUGGAACUGACACACGGUCCAGACUCCUACGGGAGGCAGCAGUGAGGAAUCUUGGGCAAUGGGCGAAAGCCUGACCCAGCGACGCCGCGAGGGGGAAGAAGCUCUUCGGGGUGUAAACCCCUUUUCUGGGGGAAGAAUAAGGUGAGGAGGUAAUGCCUCAUCGAUGACGGUACCCCAGGAAUAAGCCCCGGCUAACUACGUGCCAGCAGCCGCGGUAAGACGUAGGGGGCAAGCGUUGCCCGGAAUCACUGGGCGUAAGGGGCGCCUAGGCGGUUCAGCAAGUCGUCUGUGAAAGCCCCCGGCUCAACUGGGGAACGCCGGGCGAUACUGCUGGGCUAGAGGGUGGCAGAGGAAGGUGGAACGACCGGAGUAGCGGUGAAAUGCGUAGAUACCGGUCGGUACCCCGAUGGCGAANGCAACCUUCUGGGCCAUCUCUGACGCUGAAGCGCGAAAGCGUGGGGAGCAAACCGGNAUUAGAUACCCG
rnacentral:rRNA from 1 species